GAUGAAGAACGUAGUGAAACGCGAUAUGUAAUGUGAAUUGCAGAAUUCAGUGAAUCAUCGAAUCUUUGAACGCACAUGGCGCCUUCCAGUAUCCUGGGAGGCAUGCCUGUCCGAGCGUCGUUUCAACCCUCGAGCCCCCGUGGCCCGGCGUUGGGGAUCUGCCCAGGCAGUCCCCGAAAACCAGUGGCAGACCCGUUACAGGCCCUUCCCUUGCGUAGUAGCAUUCGCCUCGCAUCGGGAGCCGGCGGGCUUCCAGCCUCUAAACCCCCAUCAAGUCCGCCCCGGCGGCACCAAGGUUGACCUCGGAUCAGGUAGGAAUACCCGCUGAACUUAAGCAUAUCAAUAAGCGGAGGA
rnacentral:misc_RNA from 1 species